rnacentral:rRNA from 1 species
GUUUGAUCCUGGCUCAGGACGAACGCUGGCGGCGUGCUUAACACAUGCAAGUCGAACGAUGAAGCUGUGCUUGCACAGUGGAUUAGUGGCGAACGGGUGAGUAACACGUGAGUAACCUGCCCUCCACUUUGGGAUAACUCCGAGAAAUCGGGGCUAAUACUGGAUAUGACCUUGGCCCGCAUGGGUUUUGGUGGAAAGUUUUUCGGUGGGGGAUGGGCUCGCGGCCUAUCAGUUUGUUGGUGAGGUAGUGGCUCACCAAGGCGAUGACGGGUAGCCGGCCUGAGAGGGCGACCGGCCACACUGGGACUGAGACACGGCCCAGACUCCUACGGGAGGCAGCAGUGGGGAAUAUUGCACAAUGGGCGAAAGCCUGAUGCAGCGACGCCGCGUGGGGGAUGACGGCCUUCGGGUUGUAAACCUCUUUCAGCAAGGAAGAAGCGAAAGUGACGGUACUUGCAGAAGAAGCGCCGGCUAACUACGUGCCAGCAGCCGCGGUAAUACGUAGGGCGCAAGCGUUGUCCGGAAUUAUUGGGCGUAAAGGGCUUGUAGGUGGCUUGUCGCGUCUGCCGUGAAAACUCGAGGCUUAACCUUGGGCGUGCGGUGGGUACGGGCAGGCUAGAGUGCGGUAGGGGAGACUGGAAUUCCUGGUGUAGCGGUGAAAUGCGCAGAUAUCAGGAGGAACACCGAUGGCGAAGGCAGGUCUCUGGGCCGUUACUGACACUGAGAAGCGAAAGCAUGGGGAGCGAACAGGAUUAGAUACCCUGGUAGUCCAUGCCGUAAACGUUGGGCACUAGGUGUGGGGAGCAUUCCACGUUUUCCGCGCCGUAGCUAACGCAUUAAGUGCCCCGCCUGGGGAGUACGGCCGCAAGGCUAAAACUCAAAGGAAUUGACGGGG